GAUGAACGCUAGCGGGAGGCCUAACACAUGCAAGCCGAGCGGUAUUGUUUCUUCGGAAAUGAGAGAGCGGCGUACGGGUGCGGAACACGUGUGCAACCUGCCUUUAUCUGGGGGAUAGCCUUUCGAAAGGAAGAUUAAUACUCCAUAAUAUAUUGAACGGCAUCGUUUAAUAUUGAAAGCUCCGGCGGAUAGAGAUGGGCACGCGCAAGAUUAGCUAGUUGGUGAGGUAACGGCUCACCAAGGCAAUGAUCUUUAGGGGGCCCGAGAGGGUGAUCCCCCACACUGGUACUGAGACACGGACCAGACUCCUACGGGAGGCAGCAGUGAGGAAUAUUGGUCAAUGGGUGCAAGCCUGAACCAGCCAUCCCGCGUGAAGGACGACUGCCCUAUGGGUUGUAAACUUCUUUUGUAUAGGGAUAAACCUUUCCACGUGUGGAAAGCUGAAGGUACUAUACGAAUAAGCACCGGCUAACUCCGUGCCAGCAGCCGCCGCGUAAC
rnacentral:rRNA from 1 species